UCUCUCUGCUGUGAAUCAUUCCUGCAGAUGAAAAAGUGUGACUUGGCAGCUGGUGAUUCUGCUGUGCCUACAGUUUGAGAACCAUGGAAGCUUAGCAUGGGCUUCAGGGCCAUAAUGCCCAGGUUCAAAGCCUUAUUUCACCAUUCGCCAACUGUGGGACCUUAGGUAGGUGACUUAAUGUUUCUCUAUAUCUCAGUUUACCUAUCUGUAAAAUGAAGAUAACAAUAUUUACCUAUAAUAAUAAUUUUACAUUAUAUAUUUAUACUUUAUAUAUUGCUUAAUACAUAAAUUUAAUUAUGUAUUAUAAUAUAUUAAUAGAUAUAAUAGUUUCCACACAUAAUGGGUGGCAAGCGCUUGGCACGGGCCUUAGAACACCAGCAUACCCACUAAUUGUCAUCUAUUGUAAUCCAAAAGCCACACU
rnacentral:sRNA from 1 species